rnacentral:rRNA from 1 species
CUAAAAGCUCCGUAGCCGGUUCGGUACGUUUUCGGGUAAAUCCAUUUGCUUAACUGGUUGGUUGCCGGAAAUACUGCCAAACUUGGGACCGGGAGAGGUGGACGGUACUCCUCGGGAAGGGGUAAAAUCCUGUGAUCCUGAGAGACCACCCUGUGGCGAAGGCGGUCCACCAGAACACGUCCGACGGUGAGGGACGAAGCCUGGGGGAGCGAACCGGAUUAGAUACCCGGGUAGUCCUAGCUGUAAACGAUGUGGCCUUGAUGUGCGUUGUCCUCCGAGCACUGCCAGGCCCCAAGCGAACGUGAUAAGUCCACUGCCUGGGGAGUCGGGCGCAAGGGUGAAACUUUAAGGAAUUG